rnacentral:lncRNA from 1 species
NNNNNGUCAUUUGCAAGUAUCUUCUCCCAUUCCGUGGGUUGCCUCUUUGUUUUCUUGACUGUUUCCUUUGCUGUGCAGAAGCUUUUGAUUUUGAUGAAGCGUCACUCAGUCUCACCACAGGAAGUGGACUCUUCAUGCCCUUCCUCUGCCCCACACGGCCUCCACCCACCUCCCCUCUGGCAAGCAUUCACUUCUUCAUUGAGGUUCAAAGCAUCCAGGUUGCUCCUAUCAAUGCUGAAAGCCAGAAAGCGAAUUUCACAAGAGCAUCGGAGACUGGCAACAAGGUUUACUUUGCUCCUACCUUCCAGGGCUUGGUACUCAGGCCCUGCCAGCCUGAGGAAUUCUAAUACAAUAUGUUCACAGGUGUAUCCUCGACCCCCGCCACAAAAAAUUCAUGUCCCCUGGACAGAAGCAGGACUUUUAGAUUAUAAAACCUUUUUACUUCCACUUUGAGAAGGUCCCAACUUUGUAGUUCAGAUGUCUCUGGUGAUCGGAGUGGCCCAGUGAACAACCGGAACAAAGAUUGUCUACUUGUGAGCUACUGUGCUGAUUUCUCUGAAGUGCACAUUUAGUUGUUCAGGAAAAGGGGCAGUUUUCAUUCUCAAUGACUCCAAGUUAGAAAGGUGUGAGAAAACUCAAAACGUUAGUGUGGAGACUAACUGUUUUCGGAUGUUAACUAACUAGUUAACUAACUAGUUAACUAACUAGACUGUUAAGGUGGUGGAAAACACUAGAAGAAACCUGGUCCUAGUCACGUUUAUAAUGAUUAGUAUUAAAAUCUAGUAGGUACCACGAUGUGUUAUUGAAACAUCUUUUGUCUCUAGGCACCCUCAUUGUUACC